GUGCCUUAAACUAAUGAGUAAGGAAAAUUACAAGCCUUGGUGAUGCUUGGCUUUGCUUAAUGCACCAAAAGUCGUUUCGGCGACUUUUGCUAAGCGUUAAUUUUUUUAAGGGUACAGGUCGUCCUUUUGAGCUAUUGCCUACUUUGCAUAGCUUGAGUGAAGCGAUCUACCCA